rnacentral:lncRNA from 1 species
AUUAUUCUUGGCCCCUAUUUAUGACACAUAAUACUGACAUUCACUAUGGGUAUUUGGUACCUGUCCAUGGCACAUCUUCGUUCUCCUUACUUCCCCUUACGUUCUUUACCUGACAGUGUGUGGAAAUCUGUGUCCGUACGCUACACAUGUCCUACAAAAGCUCCGUUCCACGUGUGUGAAGCGUGUUCACUACAGCUGGCAACGUUAGAGCGCCUGCCUGGUGCCCCCGAGGGUUGUGUGUCCGGAGAAUGAAGUAACCCUGAAGUUGCUUCGAGUCAGGAUGUGGCCCUGGGUGGGCCCUCUUCAGCUUCUCAGGGAAAGAGGAGAAGAUCUCCCUGUGAGACCUUCCGGAUCAGGCCAUGAGGGCUGCUGUGAGAAGAUGCCAUAGGCCGAGUGACACUAUUGUCGGACUGUUCCGAAGGCUGGAGCCUUAGAUGGAGGUGUUGGAGGGCUGGUUUCUUCUGAGCCCUCUGCGUCGUGUCCGGCUUUCCACGGGCUGCCUUCUCCCCAGUCUCCACACGGCCCCUGGGAGGUGCGGUCUGUGUGCUGCUCUGUCCUCAUGGGGACGCCGGUCCUUUUGAUUCAGGGCCUGCUGUAUGACGUCAUUUCAUUGCCAUUACUUCUUGAAAGGCCCUGCCUCCAAAUAAGUCACCUUCUGGGGGCUCAGGAUCCCCAGUAUAAAUUUGGGCCACAACGCCCCCUAAUAGCUAAAUAUUGAGCUUCUUUUUAAAAAUUCCAAGCCUCUGUAGGGAGCAAACCCAGCCGUCCCUGAUGGGACUGUGUGUGGGGACAGCCACCACUGCUGGCUUCAGAUCUGACUGCAGCCUCUCCACCUCCUGAGCUCCAGGCUCGACCAGGAACAGG